GACGAACGCUGGCGGCGUGCUUAACACAUGCAAGUCGAGCGGUAAGGCCCUUUCGGGGGUACACGAGCGGCGAACGGGUGAGUAACACGUGAGCAAUCUGCCCUUCACAUCGGGAUAACUUCGGGAAACCGAAGCUAAUACCGAAUACGACCACCGAUGGCAUCUUCUGGUGGUGGAAAGUUCCGGCGGUGAAGGAUGAGCUCGCGGCCUAUCAGCUUGUUGGUGGGGUAAUGGCCUACCAAGGCGACGACGGGUAGCCGGCCUGAGAGGGUGACCGGCCACACUGGGACUGAGACACGGCCCAGACUCCUACGGGAGGCAGCAGUGGGGAAUAUUGGACAAUGGGCGAAAGCCUGAUCCAGCAACGCCGCGUGA
rnacentral:rRNA from 1 species